rnacentral:rRNA from 1 species
CACGUAGGGGGCAAGCGUUGUCCGGAUUUAUUGGGCGUAAAGAGCUCGUAGGUGGUUCGGUAAGUCGGGUGUUAAACCCCCAGGCUCAACCUGGGGACGCCACUCGAUACUGCUGUGACUAGAGUCCGGUAGGGGAGCGUGGAAUUCCUGGUGUAGCGGUGAAAUGCGCAGAUAUCAGGAGGAACACCUAUAGCGAAGGCAGCUUGCUGGGACGUUACUGACGCUAAGGCGCGAAAGCGUGGGGAGCGAACAGG